rnacentral:rRNA from 1 species
GACGAACGCUGGCGGCGUGCUUAACACAUGCAAGUCGAACGAUGAAGGAGGAGCUUGCUCCUCUGGAUUAGUGGCGAACGGGUGAGUAACACGUGAGCAAUCUGCCCUUGACUCUGGGAUAAGCGCUGGAAACGGCGUCUAAUACCGGAUACGACCCUCGGAGGCAUCUCCUGUGGGUGGAAAGAACUUCGGUCAAGGAUGAGCUCGCGGCCUAUCAGCUUGUUGGUGAGGUAAUGGCUCACCAAGGCGACGACGGGUAGCCGGCCUGAGAGGGUGACCGGCCACACUGGGACUGAGACACGGCCCAGACUCCUACGGGAGGCAGCAGUGGGGAAUAUUGCACAAUGGGCGCAAGCCUGAUGCAGCAACGCCGCGUGAGGGACGACGGCCUUUGGGUUGUAAACCUCUUUUAGCAGGGAAGAAGCGAGAGUGACGGUACCUGCAGAAAAAGCACCGGCUAACUACGUGCCAGCCGCCGCCGUAAAAC